rnacentral:misc_RNA from 1 species
UUUCCGUAGGUGAACCUGCGGAAGGAUCAUUACAGUAGUCACCCAGGUUGCCGCAAGGCCUCCUGGGUAACCUACCACCCUUUGUUUAUUACACUUUGUUACUUUGGCAAGCCUGCCCUCGGGCUGCUGGCUCCGGCCGGCGAGCGCUUGCCAGAGGACCUAAACUCUGUUUGUCUAUACUGUCUGAGUACUAUAUAAUAGUUAAAACUUUCAACAACGGAUCUCUUGGUUCUG